UGUCCAUUGGUUGGUGCAAAUAUCUGAUCU
rnacentral:piRNA from 1 species